rnacentral:hammerhead_ribozyme from 1 species
AUCUAGAUGAUGAGUCCCAAAUAGGACGAAAUGCGCUUUAUUCUGGAU